GUGGGAGCUGGCUUGCCUGCGAUUGCAUCACUGUGAUCUGCCUGACAGACCCAGUCGCCCGCAUCGCAGGCAAGCCAGCUCCCAC
rnacentral:misc_RNA from 1 species